CCGUUUUCUCCUCCCUUUGCCUCUGAAGUAAUCCCUGAGUUCAUUCUCUUUCCACAUCUUAACAGGAGCAGUAGGAGAGCAAAGAUUUUGGUCAGACCACGCGUCUCUCUGUACUUGAGUGGCGUGACUCCUCUGGUCGUCUUUGUUCUUAGAUUUGGAAAUGACCUUAGUUUAGUUUUGAUUUCCCUUCUCUCUGUGGCAGCCAGCCUCUGCUAUCUGUUACAACUGAACCGAAAUGUUGGCUAGCCAGUUGAUUGAGGAAGAAAUCAGCUGUGCUGAGGACAGGACGUUAAGAAACUGUUUUCAGGCAGACCUGGGGACAGUGGGACCAGCACCAGAUGUGGAGGCAGGAAACGUUCGUCCUAAGGCUGCUACUUUGCUGUGUGACCUUGGACAGAUCCCUUAACCUCUCUGAAUCUUGGUGCCUUGCAGGGUUGUUGUGGAGUCAGAUAAGAUAAUACGUAAGAAAUUGUUUUUUUGGAAACAGUUUAUAGUAUGAAAAAAUGUAAAAGACUAUAAAGGAACCUGAUUUAAUCUGAGAAGGUUUUUGAACGCCAAUACUUUCAACAAAAGAGUGAGAUGACAAAUGACCUUUGGUCUGGGCCAGGCUUUUCUCUGGAGCCUGGUGCUCCUCGCCUUGAGAGUUUCUGUCCUUUCCUGCGGGAGAGACUUUUAAGCUUCUUAAUUUGAACUGUAGACAUACCCAAGGCGCACCGGAUGUGUUUCAACCAAGUGGAGAGGGUAGACCACCAUUUCUGCCCUUGCUGGGAGUUGAGGGCUGAGGCUGUCCACCACGGGCAGCAGGCUCCCCGGGAAGCUGUGUUGGGUGUGACCGCAUGUGGACUGAGGGCUUCUCCAGGGGCCACACGCUCCAGGGCAGCCUGUUGGCCUGACGCCUCCUGGGACUGCCCCACGCUGGGGCCUCAGGUGGGCUGCAGCUGGGCAGAAACCCUUGCCGGGGCUACAGCCUUGGUUCACACGGGCUUCUGUCUCAGAAAGAAGAAUUUAGAACAUCGCCUCCAAGUUUAAGUGUAUUACACGAGCACCUUUGUUACAAAAAGAAUUUUGAAAGGAAAGAACCCUUUUAUGCUGCCAGUGAUUAUUUCGUUAAAGAUUUUGGUUGGUAUGUGCAUGUUUUCAUCUUUUGUAUGUUCUAAAACGGGGUCCCUCUGAAGGCUGGAGUUGUCAGACUGCCUGUAGAGCUGACGGUGCUGGGGGCGUGUGCAGGAACCUGGGCGUCGCUGGGUCCUGACUCUGCCCAUCCUUCCUUGCUUUUCCUCUUUUCACUGGGCAGGCCUGGGGAGGCCAGGGCCCCGUUGCCUGUCCUGCCUUUCUCUCGCCCUGGAAUUUGAGCAAGUGGCCUAUGUUCUCUGGCUUUAGCAUUCUCACCUCUAAAACCAGGGGAUUCAAAUACCAGGCAGAGACAGAGGUGCCUCAGUGACCGACAAAUGCUGCUGGGCGAAAGAAUGCCCAGGUGUAACUCCAGGAAGCUGGCACUGCCAGUAAAAGGCCGCCUCCAGCUGAAUUCCGGGUGGGGCUGAGUACCGUGCAUUGUGGCCCAUCGCGGCUCUGCAGGAAGGAGGCAGGAUUGCCAGGUCACAGAGUAUGACAGCCUCUGCCAGGAUCCUGACUCACACGUCUUCCAGCAGGGCUCCUGCUCCCCCCACCAGGUCGCCUUCCGGGUGGCUCCGAGCCUCAGGGUCCAAGCCCUCCCCACCUCCCACCCCCGCAGCGCCGCCCCCUGACCCAGCCCCGUUUGCUGUGGGCGGGCUGCUAACUCCCUGAUGGCUUGUGCAUCUGGCUAAGUUCUCACCCAUUUCUCUUUAGGGAGGGAGCAUGGCAUCUCCUGCCAGUCAUUCCUAUGGCUGCAUGUGAGGCACGCAAAGCUCACUGGCAUUUUUUGAGGCCAGGUUGUUAAUUGGCUUAACCAACAGUCAUGGGAAAAGGAGGGGAGUGCUCUGGAGGCUGCCAGCCAGGACUGGAAAGCAGCAGCACACCCAGCCCAGCGUGCCCAGGGGAAGCCCGUGAGUGCCCCGGCCGCCGAGGUGGGCUUUGCCUGGCUCUGGGUUCCCUCGUGCUUUUGCUGUCUGGCAUGACGAUGGUCACAGAAGGGCUCUUCCUUCUCUUCAUUUCUAACUUUUGCGGGGAGCAGCUGCUCCCUGUGGCAGGGGAAGAUGGACAGGGGAUCUCUGUGAACACUCAAAUCAAGUCCAGACUUGAAAGGGCCUCCUCGUAGCCCAGAAAUAGACCCACAUGGACAUGGUCAACUAAUCUUUGACAAGGGCACCAAGAAUGCACAAUGGAGAAAGGACAGUCUCUUCAAUAAAUGGUGCUGGGAAAACUGGAAAGCCACAUGCAAAAGAAUGAAACUGGAUCCCUAUCUCACACCAUACACAAAAAUGAACUUGAAAUGGAUUAAAGACUUAAAUGUAAGUAAAACUCCUACAGGAAGACAUAGGGAAAAUGCUCAUUGACUUUGGGCUUGGCAAUGAUUUUUUGGAUAAGACAUCAAAAGCAUAGAAGACAAAAGCGAAAAUAAACAGGAAGGACUAUAUCAAACUCAAAAGCUUCUGCACAGCAAAGGAAACCAUCAACAAAACGAAAAGACAACCUCUAGAAUGGGAGAAGAUAUUUGCAGACCAUACAUCUGAUAAGAAGUUAAUAUCCAAAAUAUAUAAAGACCUCAUACAACUCAACAGCAAAAAAACCAAAUAAUCCAAUCAAAACAUGGGCAGAGGCCAAAAGAGACAUUUUUCCAAAGAAGACAUACAGAUGACCAACAGGUGGAUGCAAAGGUGCUCGACAUCACUGAUCGUGAGGGAAAUGCAAAUCCAAACUGCACUGAGAUCUGACCUCAGACCUGUCGGAAAGGCUGUGAGCAGAAAGACGAGAGACAAUGAAUGUUCGUGAGGACGUGGAGAAGAGGAAAUCCUGUGCGCUGUUGGUGGGAAUGUAAAUUGGUGUAGCCCCUAUGGAAAAGAGUAUGGAGGGUCCUCAAAGAAUUAGAAAUAGAACUAGUGCAUGAUCCAGCAAUUCCACUUCUGGGGAUUUAUCCGGAGGAAAUGAAAUCAAUAUGUUGAAGACAUGUCUGCUCUUCCACAUCUAUUGCAGCAUUAUUCCCAAAAACCAAGGUAUGGAAGCAACCUAAGAGUCCUUAGAUGGAUGAACGGAUAAACAAAAUGUCAUAUUAUAUAUACACACACACACACACAACUGAAAAAUAUUAUUCCACCUUAUAAAGAAGGAAAUCCUGCCGUUUGUGACAACAUGGUGGAGCUGGAGGACGUUACGCUAAGUGAGAUAAACACAGAAAGGCAAACACUGUAUGAUCUCACUUAUGUGGAAUUUUGGGGGAGAUGUUGUUUGAAGGGUACAAACUUCCAGUUGUGAUGAAUAAGCUAUGAGGAACUAAUGCACAGCUUGAUGGCUAUACUUAAUAAUACUGUAUUAUGUUCUUGAAAUUUAAGAGAGUAGAUCUUAAGUGCUCUCACCACACACACACACAAAGGUAACUGUGUGAGGUGACGGACACGGUAACAUGACUGUCGUAAAUAUUUCACAAUGUGUAUGUGUAUCAAAUCCUCACAUUGUACACUUUAGGUAUAUAGAAUUUUAUUUGUCGAUUAUACCUCAAUAAAGCUGGAGAAGAAUAAAGAACAAAGGUAUAUAAGAUUAGAAAGAAGAAAAGAGAUAGAAUCACAGGUAUGUAAGACAUUUAAAACAAGAAAUCAUUAAAUGCAAUUGUAUGGCAACACUUUUUUUUCUUUUAAAGGUUUAGGGUUUUUUUUCGUGAGGAAGAUUGGCCCUGAGCUAACAUCUGUUGCCAAACUUCCUCUUUUUUUUCCUCCCCAAAGCCCCAGGACAUAUUUGCGUAUCCUAGUUGUAAGGCCUUCUAGCUCUUCUGUGUGGUGGUAGGACGCCACCACAGCAUGGCUUGACGAGCAGUGUGUAGGUCUGUGCCCGGGAUCUGAACCGGCAAACACCAGGCCACCGAAGUGGAGCACAAGUACUUAACCACUCAGCCAUGGGGCCGGCCCCUGGCAACACUUUUGAAAAUGUGCAGAAAAUAGGUGAUUUCCUUUCAGAAUAUAAAUUGGUGAAGUUCAUCCCAGGAUAAAUAGGUAACUAACAAGGUACAAUUGCUGUGAUCAAGAUCAGAAAUGUCAUUAAAGAUUUAGUAAGACGGAAUUCUUAGCUUUGACUGCAUGUUCGAAUCACUUGGGGAAUUUAAAAAAUUCCUGAGACCAUGGCAAUGAAAGAUGGUGCAGCUGCUGUGGAAAAGAGCUUGGUGGGUACUCAGUAAGGUAAACACAGAGUUACUGUAUGACCCAGCAAUUCUACUCUUUGGAAUAUACCUAAAAGAUUUGAAAACAGCUGUUCAAACAAAAGCUUGUACGCAGUGUUUGUAGUAGCACUAUUCACAAUAGCCAAAAGGUGGAAACAACCUAAAGGUCUAGCAGCAGCUGAAUGACAAACAGAAUGUGAUAUACCGCACAGUGGAGCACUGCUCAGCCGCGAAAAGGAAGGGAGUACUGAUACACACUGCAACGCGAAUGAACCUUGAAAGCAUCCUGCCGAGUGGAAGAAGGUAGUCACCAAAAGCCACUUAGCAGUCCAUUUAUAUGAAAUGUCCGGGGCAGAUAAAUCCACAGACAGAGAAAGUAGAUUAGUGGUGGCAAGGGCUAGGGGGUGGGGAAAGUAAGUGACUGCUGAUGGGUAUGGGGUUUCCUUUGGGGUGAGGAAAACCGUCUGGAACUGGAUAGAGCUGGCGGUUGGACUCUACUGAGAAUGUACUAAACACCACUGAAUUGUUCACUUUAAAAUGGUUCAUAGGAUGACUUUUACAUUAUGUGAAUUUUACCACAUGAAAAGAAUCCUGAUUUCUGGGCCCAUCCCAAACCACUGAAAUCCAGGUGUCUGGGGGUGGGGUCCAGGCAUCAGGACUCACAGCUCCCAGGAGAGUCCAGCGCGCAGCGGGGGCUGCGAUCACUGGGGUCCAGGGCCCAGUUAAAGUGUGUGGGUUCGUCAGGGUCGGUGAUGUUUGCACAGUUCUAGGGCCGAAUAACACAUAUAACAAUUAAAGACUGCUAUUUAUGACAUCUAGAGCUCCUCCAAAUAAAGCACAGACAAUCUAGAUGUGUCCAAAUGUGCGAAUAAUCUUUGAACCAGGCAAUCACGGGACAGGAAAUCUUUAAAAAAUAAAAAAAAAGCAAAUGAGAAGAGGUUCCACUUUACCAGGAGUCAGGAAAUAAAAGUGAAAGUAACAGUGACUUGCUACUUUUCAUUUGUCAGCUCGGCAAUAAUUUGAAAAACAAAACACCCAGCGAAAGGGCCCUCCCGUGUGUCGUUAGUGGGGCUGUGACAACUUAGUGCCUUUUUAACGUGACAGUGCGCGUUUGACACCUCACAUCCGGGACUCCACUCCACAGAAAGCUGGUUCCUGAAGAGUUGUUUAUGGCGUCAGCAAAAGAACCUGGAAAAGUCCCGCGUGCCCUCCAAGGCGGCAUGACUAACGGCUGGAGCGCACACAGCAUGGGGCGUGACGCAGCUCUGAAAGACUAUGAGUUAGACAGCUCUAUCCACCUGGAGGAGUUCCAUGUUGUACACACUGCCAAGUUAAAAGAAAGACGAAAAGCAAAUUUUAAAGAAGAAAAGGCCUCCUGUGUGAGGCUUCUCUCUCUGUCCUCUCCUCUUGCCCUUUUGCCGUGUUCCUGUCACACCUGGGAUUCCUGGAACAGGCACGCUCCGCCACCCCUCGGCAGCUUGCCCACGCCGUCCCAGGUGCCUGGGAUGCAGUCCCCAGCUUGCCGCCUUGCUAGUUCCUACCUAAGGCUCACAUUAAGAAGAUAGCUCCUCCUCUGGGGAGCCCUCCCUGACUGCCCGUCCCCUGGGCUUCCCUCUGCCCGGCCCUUACCAUGUUGUGCUGUCAUCCUUUGCCUUUUGGCCUAGUGGCUCCUUGUGGGGAGGGGUCUGUGUUUUGGUCACUCUUGAACGCUCUGUACCCAGCACCAGGCCUGGCGAGGCAGCUGGGGCCGGGGAGGUGGCGGAAUUGACAUGGGACUGAAGGCAAUAUGUGGCCUCAAGGGGCUAGGAUGACCACUGGAAUCGGGCUGUGGGCGAGGAGGUCAGAAACUUUCUUGUCUGCUUCCCCCGGGCUCCGUCUUAGGAAAUGUCCAUCUAUUUAAAAGGGAUGGGCCUAAUGUGAUAUUCUUUGUCAGCAAACUAUUUUGAAUGAACCAUUAUGCACUUUCCAGUUCUUUCAAGGUGUUAGAACUAGGGUGGCCAGCGUGUCCUGGUUUGCCUGGGACUGAAGUCCCUCGUCCCCGGCAGAGCCCAACAGUUGUCCCCCGCGUCUGAGUUGCCAGGGGAGCUCUCGUGUCCUUCUCCCCUACAGUCCAGCUCACUGUGUGAGGUGUGCGGUCAGCUGGAAGGAGCUUUCUAGGGUAGCAGGGUCCAGGGUACUGGCAUGGCCCAGUCUGGCUGGGUCCUGCCACUUGUAGCGAGUCAUCUCAAGCAACUUAUUUAACUCCAUGAGCCUAGUUUCCUAACGCACAAAAUGGGCACAAAAGUCCUAAAGCAGGUUGAUGAGAAUUUUCAGUGUGAUGACAUGAACAAAGCCCCUGGGGCGAGAUGGUCAUAGUGAGAACUGCCUCCCAGCGGGCAGACCAUGGCCGGCCUUAGGAGCCGACAUGACUCUUGUUUACAGAAGUGAGGACUGAGGCUCUGGGGCUAAGCUACCCCAGGUUACAGGGCCUGUGUCUGUUUCUGACAGGCCACGCGGCAGUCUCCGGGUACUGAGGUUCCUCAGCUCUGGGUGUGGUCUGGGAUCCGGACAGCCCGUCCACUUUCUCUCGGACCAGGCCUCCCCACAGUUGUUGGACCAUCAUGCUAGGGAGCCCCGACUGGAUCCUCUGGCCCAGGGCAGUGGGAACAGCCAGCAAAGCCAGCAGCCCCCUGGCUGCUCAUGCUACACGGCCCGGGGCUUCCUCAGUCAGAGCUGGGAGAAUCAAGGGACCCGGGGAGGUGCCCUGGGCUUCCAUUCAUUACACAGUGAUUCCUCCAUGUGUUAAUUCACACAGGCAUGCCCUUACCAUCUUUGCACCUCCAAGGGAGGGAGAGCCCCAUCAGUGAACACACCCGUGCUGGGAGGGAGGGAGGAGCACCCAGGACUACUGUGGCAGGCGGCGAAGGCUUCCUGGAGGAUGCAUCUGAACUAAGCCUGGAAAGACUGGCUGUGAGGCUGGGUGGGAAAGCCACGGCAGCAUUCCAGCAGGAAGGCCAGUGAGCAGGGCCAGGAGGCCAGGGCCAGUUUGACAGAGCUUGGGAGCGCUUGGCAGGGGAGUGGAGGAGGAGGUCUUAGGAAGUGCUGCAGGCAUCCUGGAAGCCAGGAGCAGUCGCUGGAGGGUUCUGAGGAGCAGGCAGCAGCCAGCUUUGUGGCUAGGGAGGCGCGUGCAGCGGGGAUUACCAGGGACACAAGCGGUCCAGGCAAGGGAUGGCAAAGGCUGCGAGCAGGGCGUGGCCUGGUCUCUGUUGUCCCGUGUCCCUACACACUGCACUCUGUCCUCAUCGGCUCCCCAAGUGGUCCCUGAGAGUGGGCCUGUGCCAGGUGGCUCCUUGGCAUGCCUUGGACAUCACAGACUGUUGAUGGGAUGAUGGUGGCUCGGGAAGGGGCUCAGUGACUGACUGAUGGGACCUAGGGACACGAGGGGGAGGAGGCUGUGGCUUUCUGGGUUGAGGGCUGAGUAAGGGGCGGUUGAGGACUUGAUUUGAAUUUGGAAAGAAAGACAUCACUCCUGCCUUCCCCAGGAGGAGGGGGGCCUCUCGGUGGCCCUGACAGCUCCUCAUCCUGCUGUUUUGCACAAUAUACAAUUUCUUUGCAUAACAGACAGAAUAAUCUCAUUUUCUCACUGGCUACACAGCUUUGCUUUCAAUCAGUUAUCCCCAAAUACAUUAAAAAAAAAAAGGUCUCCAUGUCACAUCUCUGCCUGCUCCGUGCUCC
rnacentral:lncRNA from 1 species